CCGACGGGUGAGUAACACGUAUGCAAUCCACCUGUAACAGGGGAGUAACCGGAGAAAUCCGGACUAAUACCCCAUAAUAUGGGCGCUCCGCAUGGAGAGUCCAUUAAAGAGAGCAAUCUUGGUUACAGACGAGCAUGCGCUCCAUUAGCCAGUUGGCGGGGUAACGGCCCACCAAGGCGACGAUGGAUAGGGGUUCUGAGAGGAAGGUCCCCCACAUUGGAACUGAGACACGGUCCAA
rnacentral:rRNA from 1 species